UACGUAGGGUGCAAGCGUUGUCCGGAAUUAUUGGGCGUAAAGAGCUCGUAGGCGGUCUGUCGCGUCGGCUGUGAAAACUCAGGGCUCAACCCUGAGCCUGCAGUCGAUACGGGCAGACUAGAGUUCGGUAGGGGAGACUGGAAUUCCUGGUGUAGCGGUGAAAUGCGCAGAUAUCAGGAGGAACACCGGUGGCGAAGGCGGGUCUCUGGGCCGAAACUGACGCUGAGGAGCGAAAGCGUGGGGAGCGAAUAGG
rnacentral:rRNA from 1 species